GACGUAGGGGCGAGCGUUGUCCGGAUUCAUUGGUCGGUAAAGACGCGCGUAGGCGGCCCGUUAACGUCGGUUGUGAAAACCCGACGGCUCAACCUCGGGCCUGCAUCCGAUACUGGCGGGCUGGAGGCAGCUAGGGGAGAGUGGAAUACCUGGUGUAGCGGUGAAAUGCGCAGAUAUCAGGUGGAACACCGGUGGCGAAGGCGGCUCUCUGGGGCUGUUCUGACGCUGAGGCGCGAAAGCUGGGGUAGCAAACAGGAUUAGAAACCCC
rnacentral:rRNA from 1 species